rnacentral:rRNA from 1 species
CAAUGGGCAAGGCGCCUGAUCCAGCCAUAUAGUAAGAGUAAAACUCAAAAGAAAAAAGAAAAGAAUGAUAGAAGUUUUUCAUUAAAUCCUGACUAAUUUCGUGCCAGCAGUCGCGGUAAUACGUGAAGGAUAAGCGUAAUUCAUAAUAACUAGGUAUUAAGUGUCUGUAGGCGGCGAGAGCUAGAGUCUGACUAGGAAAUUGAAAUUUGAUAAGGAAGGAUAAAAUCUGUUGAUAUAUUAAAGAAUACUAUGCGAAGGCAUUUUUCUAUGAAGGACUGACGCUAAGAGACUAAAGUGUGGGUAGCGAA